CUAGGAUCCCGUUAGGCAUCUUCUUGUCGUUGCUGCUGACCACGGCUUUCCUCUGCUUCCUGAACCUUAGAGGCAGAAGAUGUGUUAGGUCUCGGUCCAGGAGGAACCCCCAAGCCCUGAGUGUGGCGAUACCCACCAGGAGCUGGUUAGGGCACGUCAGCGCCUGGGGACACUCCUACCUGAAGAAGUAGGCUGCGAGGAGGAGCAAGAGGAGGAGCAGAGGCAGCAGCAGCCAGGAUUUCUGCACGGCAUCUCCUACAAGUGAACCCUUGUGUCCACUGCAGACAUUAUCAAACAACCAUGGAAAAUUUCAGAUGAUCUCCCAAGGCAUCUGAUGCCCAUGCUCACUUGGGGUUUAUGAGGGAGCCACUUUCUCCUGGACAGGCAAAAACACAGUAACAGUUUGACUCAGUUUUCUCUUAUUUCUAGAGAGCUCGGCUCCUUUGCAUGAUAAUUAAAAUGGAAUUAAUUAGA